AAAUGUGAGGGCACAUCUAGACAUGUGUCACAUUACUAAACCAGGUUGAUUCAGCUUAUCUGGCUGACCAAACAGGCAUCCUUUGCCUCCCUCACCACUCCAUGUGUGUCCCUCCCAAAGCUAAAGAUGACAACUUUCCCUGAAUAGAAAUGAAGCCUCUCCUCUCCAGGGCCUUAACCU
rnacentral:snRNA from 1 species